GUCUUGGUGGCUCAGUUGGUCAGAGCGUUGGUCUCAUAGAGUCAUAUGACUCAAUCCCCCAGGAUUGGGCUAUCCAAAGGUCGUGAGUUCGAGCCUCACCCAGGACA
rnacentral:tRNA from 1 species